CCUACGGGUGGCUGCAGUGGGGAAUAUUGGACAAUGGGGGGAACCCUGAUCCAGCCAUGCCGCGUGUGUGAAGAAGGCCCUCGGGUUGUAAAGCACUUUCAGUGAGGAAGAACGCCUGGUGGUUAAUACCCAUCAGGAAAGACAUCACUCACAGAAGAAGCACCGGCUAACUCCGUGCCAGCAGCCGCGGUAAUACGGAGGGUGCGAGCGUUAAUCGGAAUUACUGGGCGUAAAGCGCGCGUAGGUGGCUUGAUAAGCCGGUUGUGAAAGCCCCGGGCUCAACCUGGGAACGGCAUCCGGAACUGUCAAGCUAGAGUGCAGGAGAGGAAGGUAGAAUUCCCGGUGUAGCGGUGAAAUGCGUAGAGAUCGGGAGGAAUACCAGUGGCGAAGGCGGCCUUCUGGACUGACACUGACACUGAGGUGCGAAAGCGUGGGUAGCAAACAGGAGUAGAUACCCUUGUAGUC
rnacentral:rRNA from 1 species